rnacentral:rRNA from 1 species
CCUACGGGAGGCAGCAGUGAGGAAUAUUGGUCAAUGGCCGGAAGGCUGAACCAGCCAAGCCGCGUGCAGGACGCAGGUGCCAAGCAUUGUAAACUUCUUUUGUCAAGGGACAAAAUCAGGCUCGAGAGCCUGACCGAUGGUACUUGAAGAAAAAGCAUCGGCUACCUCCGUGCCAGCAGCCGCGGUAAUACGGGGGAUGCGAGCGUUAUCCGGAUUUAGUGGGGUAAAUGGGUGCGUAGGGGGACUGUUAAGUCAGAGGUAAAAGCCCGGGGCUCAACCCCGGCGAGCCGUUGAAACUGGCUGUCUUGAGAUGUCGAGAGGCAUGCGGAAUGCGCAGUGUAGCGGUGAAAUGCUUAGAUAUUGCGCAGAACUCCGAUUGCGAAGGCAGCAUACCGGCGGCGAUCUGACGCUGAGGCACGAAAGCGUGGGUAUCGAACAGGAUUAGAUACCCGAGUAGUC